GCUAGGUGUGGUGGUGCAUGCCUGUAAUCCCGGCAACUCAGGAGGCUGAGGCAGGAGGAUUCCAAGUUCAAGACCAGCCUUAUCAACUUUGCAAGACCCUAAGCAACUCAAUGAGAUCCUGUCUCAA
rnacentral:sRNA from 1 species